rnacentral:rRNA from 1 species
AUUGAACGCUGGCGGCAUGCUUUACACAUGCAAGUCGAACGGCAGCGCGGGCUUCGGCCUGGCGGCGAGUGGCGAACGGGUGAGUAAUACAUCGGAACGUGCCCAGUAGUGGGGGAUAGCUCGGCGAAAGCCGGAUUAAUAACGCAUACGACCUGAGGGUGAAAGCGGGGGAUCUUCGGACCUCGCGCUAUUGGAGCGGCCGAUGGCAGAUUAGCUAGUUGGUGGGGUAAAGGCCUACCAAGGCGACGAUCUGUAGCUGGUCUGAGAGGACGACCAGCCACACUGGGACUGAGACACGGCCCAGACUCCUACGGGAGGCAGCAGUGGGGAAUUUUGGACAAAGGGCGAAAGCCUGAUCCAGCAAUGCCGCGUGUGUGAUGAAGGCCUUCGGGUUGUAAAGCACUUUUGGCGGGAACGAAAAGGACUGUGCCAAUACCACGGUUCGAUGACGGUACCCGCAGAAUAAGCACCGGCUAACUACGUG